rnacentral:rRNA from 1 species
CCUACGGGGGGCAGCAGUGGGGAAUAUUGCACAAUGGGGGGAACCCUGAUGCAGCGACGCCGCGUGAGUGAAGAAGUAUUUCGGUAUGUAAAGCUCUGUCAGCAGGGAAGAAGAAAGACGGUACCUGACCAAGAAGCCCCGGCUAACUACGUGCCAGCAGCCGCGGUAAUACGUAGGGGGCAAGCGUUAUCCGGAUUUACUGGGUGUAAAGGGAGCGUAGACGGCAGGGCAAGUCUGGAGUGAAAGGCCGGGGCCCAACCCCUGGACUGCUCUGGAAACUGUCCGGCUGGAGUGCAGGUGAGGUAAGUGGAAUUCCGAGUGUAGCGGUGAAAUGCGUAGAUAUUAGGAGGAACACCAGUGGCGAAGGCGGCUUACUGGACUGUAACUGACGUUGAGGCUCGAAAGCGUGGGGAGCAAACAGGAUUAGAUACCCUUGUAGUC